ACCAGCAUGGCCUAGUGGUUUGAGUGUUGGACUACAACUCUGGAGACCAGGGUUCGAAUCCCAGCUCAGCCA